rnacentral:rRNA from 1 species
CCUACGGGGUGCUGCAGUGGGGAAUAUUGGACAAUGGGGGGAACCCUGAUCCAGCCAUGCCGCGUGUGUGAAGAAGGCCCUCGGUUUGUAAAGCACUUUCAGUGAGGAAGAACGCCUGGUGGUUAAUACCCAUCAGGAAAGACAUCACUCACAGAAGAAGCACCGGCUAACUCCGUGCCAGCAGCCGCGGUAAUACGGAGGGUGCGAGCGUUAAUCGGAAUUACUGGGCGUAAAGCGCGCGUAGGUGGCUUGAUAAGCCGGUUGUGAAAGCCCCGGGCUCAACCUGGGAACGGCAUCCGGAACUGUCAAGCUAGAGUGCAGGAGAGGAAGGUAGAAUUCCCGGUGUAGCGGUGAAAUGCGUAGAGAUCGGGAGGAAUACCAGUGGCGAAGGCGGCCUUCUGGACUGACACUGACACUGAGGUGCGAAAGCGUGGGUAGCAAACAGGAUUAGAUACCCGAGUAGUC